rnacentral:rRNA from 1 species
CCUACGGGAGGCAGCAGUAAGGAAUAUUCGUCAAUGGGCGCAAGCCUGAACCAGCCACGUCGCGUGAAGGAUGACUGCCCUACGGGUUGUAAACUUCUUUUAUAAAGAAAUAAAGUCAGGCACGUAUGCCUUUUUGUUUGUACUUUAUUAAUACGGAUCGGCUAACUCCAUUCCAGCAGCCGCGGUACUACGGAGGAUGGGAGCUUUCUCCGGAUUUAUUGGGUUUAAAGGGAGCGUAGCUGGGUUUUUAAGUCAGUUGUGAAAUCUUGUGGCUCAACAGUAAUAUUGCAAUUGAUACUGGGAGUCUUGAGUACAGUUGAGGAAGGGGGAACUCGUGGUGUAGCGGUGAAAUGCUUAGAUAUAAGGAAGAACACCGAUUGCGAAGGCAGCUUACUAAACUGCAACUGACGUUGAGGCUCGAAAGCGUGGGUAUCAAACAGGAUUAGAUACCCUGGUAGUC